rnacentral:sRNA from 1 species
GCCAGUUAUGUUCCUUCCCAUAGCCUGGCAUCUUCUUUUCGUGCCCGUUGCCACCAAGUCCAUAUGAGUCUUUGGCUUUGUGUCUUCUAACAAGGAUACACUACUUAGGCUUUUAAGAUCGAGUUGCGGUUUAAGUUGUUUUACUCAAUCAUACACAUGACAACAAGUCAUAUUCGACUCCAAAACACUAACCAACCUUCUUCUUGCUUCUCAAAGCUUUCACGGUGUAGCCAAAGUCCAUAUGAGUCUUUGGCUUUGUGUCUUCUAACAAGGAUACAGUUCUUACGCCUUUAAGAUCCGGUUGCAGUUUAAGUUGUUAUACUCAAUCAUACACAUGACAUCAAGUCAUACUCGACUCCAAAACACUAACCAACCUUGUUCUUGCUUCUCAAAGCUUUCAUGGUGUAGCCAAAGUCCAUAUGAGUCUUUGGCUUUGUGUCUUCUAACAAGGAAACACUACUUAGGCUUUUAAGAUCGGGUUGCGGUUUAAGUUGUUAUACUCAAUCAUACACAUGUCAUCAAGUCAUAUUUGACUCCAAAACACUAACCAACCUUCUUCUUGCUUCUCAAAGCUUUCAUGGUUUAGCCUAAGUCCAUAUGAGUCUUUGGCUUUGUGUCUUCUAACAAGGAUACAGUUCAUACGCCUUUAAGAUCCAGUUGCGGUUUAAGUUGUUAUACUCAAUCAUAAACAUGACAUCAAGUCAUAUUCGACUCCAAAACACUAACAAACCUUCUUCUAGCUUCUCAAAGCUUUCAUGGUGUAGCCAAAGUCGGUAUGAUUCUUUGGCUUUGUAUGUUCUAACAAGGAAACACUACUUAGGCUUAUAAGAUCGGAUUGCGGUUUAAGUUGUUAUACUCAAUCAUACACAUGACAUCAAGUCAUAUUCGACUCCAAAACACUAACCAACCUUCUUUUAGCUUCUCAAAGUUUUCAUGGUGUAGCCAAAGUCCGUAUGAGUCUUUGGCUUUGUAUGUUUUAACAAGGAAACACUACUUAGGCUUAUAAGAUCCGGUUGUGGUUUAAGUUCUUAUACUCAAUCAUACACAUGACAUCAAGUCAUAUUCGACUCCAAAACACUAACCAACCUUCAUCUUGCUUCUCAAAGCUUUCAUGGUUUAGCCUAAGUCCAUAUGAGUCGUUGGCUUUGUGUCUUCUAACAAGGAAACUCUACUUAGCCUUUUAAGAUCGGGUUGCGGUUUAAGUUGUUAUACUCAAUCAUACACAUGACAUCAAGUCAUAUUCGACUCCAAAACUCUAACCAACCCUCUUCUAGCUUCUCAAAGCUUUCAUGGUGUAGCCAAAGUCCAUAUUAGUCUUUGGCUUUGUGUCUUCUAACAAGGAUACACUACUUAGACUUUUAAGAUCGAGUUGCGGUUUAAGUUGUUUUACUCAAUCAUACACAUGACAACAAGUCAUAUUCGACUCCAAAACACUAACCAACCUUCUUCUUGCUUCUCAAAGCUUUCAUGGUGUAGCCAAAGUCCAUAUGAGUCUUUGGCUUUGUGUUUUCUAACAAGGAUACAAUUCUUACUCCUUUAAGAUCCCCUUGCCGUUUAAGUCCUUAUACUUAAUCAUACCCAUGACAUCAAGUCAUAUUCGACUCCAAAACACUAACCAACCUUCUUCUUGCUUUUCAAAUCUUUCAUUGUUUAGCCAAAGUCCAUAUGAGUCUUUGGCUUUGUGUCUUCUAACAAGGAAACACUACUUAGGCUUUUAAGAUCGGGUUGCGGUUUAAGUUGUUAUACUCAAUCAUACACAUGUCAUCAAGUCAUAUUUGACUCCAAAACACUAACCAACCUUCUUCUUGCUUCUCAAAGCUUUCAUGGUGUAGCCAAAGUCCAUAUGAGUCUUUAGCUUUGUGUCUUCUAACAAGGAUACAGUUCUUACGCCUUUAAGAUCCGGUUGCGGUUUAAGUUGUUAUACUCAAUCAUACACAUGAUAUCAAGUCAUACUCGACUCCAAAACACUAACCAACCUUCUUCUUGCUUCUCAAAGCUUUCAUGGUGUAGCCAAAGUCCAUAUGAAUCUUUGGCUUUGUGUCUUCUAACAAGGAAACACUACUUAGGCUUAUAAGAUCGGGUUGCGGUUUAAGUUUUUAUACUCAAUCAUACACAUGACAUCAAGUCAUAUUCGACUCCAAAACACUAACCAACCUUCUUCUUGCUUCUCAAAGCUUUCAUGGUUUAGCCUAAGUCCAUAUGAGUCCUCGGCUUUGUGUCUUCUAACAAGGAAACACUACUUAGGCUUUUAAGAUCGGGUUGCGGUUUAAGUUGUUAUACUCAAUCAUACACAUGACAUCAAGUCAUAUUCGACUCCAAAACACUAACCAACCUUCUUCUUGCUUCUCAAAGCUUUCAUGGUGUAGCCAAAGUCCAUGUGAGUCUUUGGCUUUGUGUCUUCUAACAAGGAUACAGUUCUUACGCUUUUAAGAUCCGGUUGCGGUUUAAGUUGUUAUACUCAAUCAUACACAUGACAUCAAGUCAUAUUCGACUCCAAAACACUAACCAACCUUCUUCUUGCUUCUCAAAGCUUUCAUGGUGUAGCCAAAGUCCAUAUGAGUCUUUGGCUUUGUGUCUUCUAACAAGGAAACACUACUUAGCUUUUAAGAUCGGGUUGCGGUUUAAGUUGUUAUACUCAAUCAUACACAUGACAUCAAGUCAUAUUCGACUCCAAAACAGUAACCAACCUUCUUCUUGCUUCUCAAAGCUUUCAUGGUGUAGCCAAAGUCCAUAUGAGUCGUUGGCUUUGUGUCUUCUAACAAGGAAACUCUACUUAGCCUUUUAAGAUCGGGUUGCGGUUUAAGUUGUUAUACUCAAUCAUACACAUGACAUCAAGUCAUAUUCGACUCCAAAACUCUAACGAAC